CCUACGGGUGGCUGCAGUGGGGAAUAUUGGACAAUGGGCGAAAGCCUGAUCCAGCCAUGCCGCGUGUGUGAAGAAGGCCUUCGGGUUGUAAAGCACUUUCAGUGGGGAAGAAAGCCUUGGGGCUAAUACCCUCGAGGAAGGACAUCACCCACAGAAGAAGCACCGGCUAACUCCGUGCCAGCAGCCGCGGUAAUACGGAGGGUGCGAGCGUUAAUCGGAAUUACUGGGCGUAAAGCGCGCGUAGGCGGUCUGAUAAGCCGGUUGUGAAAGCCCCGGGCUCAACCUGGGAACGGCAUCCGGAACUGUCAGGCUAGAGUGCAGGAGAGGAAGGUAGAAUUCCCGGUGUAGCGGUGAAAUGCGUAGAGAUCGGGAGGAAUACCAGUGGCGAAGGCGGCCUUCUGGACUGACACUGACGCUGAGGUGCGAAAGCGUGGGUAGCAAACAGGAUUAGAGACCCCAGUAGUC
rnacentral:rRNA from 1 species